CGAAAAGUGAUGAUCUCCUUGAAUAACCCUGCCUCCGGAUGCUUCGAAAACAAUCCGCAACUAGAUGUCCUGAUUUUG
rnacentral:misc_RNA from 1 species